AAUCAUUUUUCACUUUCUCAGUUAUAAUUUUGCAAUGGUGGUUUCAUAAUUUUAAAUCAAGACUACCACACUUUUCAUAAAUAACCUAAGUAAACAAUAAAAAUAAAAUAAUUAGGUAAAUGUAAUGGGACAAAUACUUGUAGACAAACUGGUCAUAAUUUAGAAUAUAAAGUUAUAUUAGAUUAAAUAAUAGAUAUUUCGUUAUUUGGGUAUUUUUCAAUAAAUAUAUUGUGGGAAAAAUUCUUGCCAGAAGAAAUUUAUUAGCACUUAUUAUUUGGAAAAUUAAGUCUCCUCUCUCAAAGAAUAAAGAUUUUUGCCUUUUUUGGAAAUCUUUGAGUUA
rnacentral:lncRNA from 1 species